rnacentral:lncRNA from 1 species
GCCCUGAGCUCCCGGAGCCCUGGUGCUCCAUCUGAGAGCAGCCCGCUGGUCCUCCUGCCUCCUCCCCCCCCCCGCCGAUAUCCAAACUCAGUCCGUCAGUCGGGAGGAUGGAAAAGAGAAAAAAAAAAAAAGAUGAGAGAGGAAUGUGACGUAGAAGUUUUAAUUACCGGGAAAAGUAAAGUUAUAUAGGACCAAGCGGCUUCCCGUGCGUCUGCGUCCCCCCCAGCCGCUGGACACGCUCUGCGGUGUCAGGUACCGGAGUUCAGGCGCACCGGGGAGAGGGAGAGCCGCGUCAAGCCAGCCGGAGACAGCACCGGAGAUACUCGGCUUUUACCUUCACAUUAAGACAGCCCAAUCCCGGAAGCUACACUCUACAAUCUACUGUCGCCUUGAUAAAUACUCAUAAUAAUUUGAUAAACAUCUGUUAGCUUACCUCAUCGGCUAACCUAAGUCACGUAAUACUGCAAACAAUUUUCGCAACACUUUAAGCUAGUUUUAGAAACUGCCAAGAUUUUCUAGCUAACGUUCCUCAAUUAAUGAUAUGUUAUACAUCUCUAUUCUUGCCUUUUUUUUUUCUAAAUCUCAGCUUUCAUCAAAUUAGUAUUAAUGAGAAAACAUAGCAAUUUAGUAACUUUUAAGAACAAAUAAGAAAGGUCUCUCUUAAAAAAAAUGGCUGCCGGAAACAAAACCGUUAGGAGGAGCAGAGGACAGGACUUUGUUUCCUUGGCAACCAAGAAAUUAGCUGCGGAGGCUACUCAACCACAGCAAUGUCUGUCACCCCCCAAAAAACAACGAUUUGUCGGUGUCACUCGACUGUGGAACCGCCCCAUGUUACAGGCUAAUGCGUCCCCUCACCCCGUCUGUGAACCCAUCUCCUGCCUUCAGCCAGUUGUGCCUGUGAUCCACCGGUCACGCCAUCUCCCCGACUAGGUACACACACUUACAGCGUGCACACACAGGCACGAAAACACAAGCACAAAUGAAGCUUAUUGCUGUGUGCUCUGAGAGAGAAAGAGGAGACUGGCUGACAUGUGGGGUUGUAUUUCAGAGCUGAGGCGUGUAAGAGAAGAUUUUUUAUUGUUAAUCUGUUUCCCUCCCCGGUUAAAAGUUGCAGGACUCGCAGCUCCACACAGUGUUCAGUCUGAGUCACUGCACUCGUUUCCUUCUGGGACCUUAACUUAAAUUAUUCAUGUUUGUAAAGGGAUGAGCUGCCAAAGACCCUGAAACUCACCAUUGUGUCUGAG